rnacentral:rRNA from 1 species
GUGCAGACCACUGCAUAAGGCUAAAUACAAGGUGUCGACCGAUAGUGAACAAGUACCGUGAGGGAAAGGUGAAAAGAACCCCUGUUAGGGGAGUUAAAAGUACCUGAAACCUGUUGCCUACAAGCGGUCGGAGCUCCGAAUGGAGUGACGGCGUACCUUUUGCAUAAUGGGCCUAGGAGUUUAUGUGAGUUGCGAGCUUAAGAGUUUACGACUUGGAGGCGAAGCGAAAGCGAGUUUGAAUAGGGCGCCAGUAACUUGCAUAACACCCGAAGCGGAGGCGAUCUAGCCAUGGCCAGGUUGAAGCACCGGUAAUACGAUGUGGAGGACCGAACCCAUUAACCUUGAGAAGUUAAGGGAUGAGCUGUGGUUAGGAGUGAAAGGCUAAUCAAGCCCCGUAAUAGCUGGUUCUCUCCGAAAUAUAUUUAGGUAUAGCGCCGAAUGUUAAAAGCCGGGGGUAAAGCACUGAAAAGGCUAGGGUUCACACCAGAAUACCGAACCUUAUCAAACUCUGAAUACCGGCUGGGAAAAUUAGGUAGUCAGUCAGCGGGGGAUAAGCUCCGUUGGCGAGAGGGAAACACCCCAGACCAUCGAAUAAGGUCCCAAAGUUAGUACUAAGUGGCAAGAAGGAGGUAAAUUUUCUUAGACAAUGGGGAUGUUGGCUUAGAGGCAGCCAUCAUUUAAAAAGUGCGUAAUAGCUUACCCAUCGAGAGAGUUUGCGCCGAAAAUGAUCGGGACUAAAGUACUACACCGAAUUCGUGGAAUUAGCAAUAAUUGGUAGGAGAGCGUUCCAACGACGUAGAAGCGUGAUUGAAAGAGAGCGUGGAGUUUUUGGAAGUGAGAAUCUAGGCAUGAGUAACGAAAAGCAUGGUUAAAAUCCAUGCCGCCGUAAGGAUAAGGUUUCCUGGGGAAGGUUCGUCCGCCCAGGGUUAGUCGGGAGCUAAGGCGAGGCCGUAAGGAGUAGUCGAUGCACAAUAGGUUAAUAAUCCUAUACCUGCUUAAUGGUGUUCGAGUCGCAUAUUGACGAAUACGUGAAGUUCAGCCGGGUGAUGAAUGUCCCGGUCUAAGGUUGUGAAAGCAGCUGGGGACUUAGAGGCUACGGCCGAUAGGGAUUGAAUGGAUGGUGUUCCGGGAAAAUUUAUGCGAUUAAUCAUUGGGUAGCCCGUACCGCAAACCGACACAGGUAUCCGGGAAGAGUAUUCUAAGGCGCGUGAGUGAAAUCUCCCCAAGGAACUCGGCAAAAUGGCCCCGUAUCUUCGGUAGAAGGGGUGCCAACGCGAGUUGGUCUCAGCAAAGAGGCCCAACCGACUGUUUAUCAAAAACACAGCUCUCUGCGAAGUCGCAAGACGACGUAUAGGGAGUGACACGUGACCAAUGCGGAAAGGUGAAAACUGCUUGUUAGCGCUUGUGGUCUAAGCCCCCGUGAAUGUCGGCCGUAACUAUAACGGUCCUAAGGUAGCGAAAUUCCUUGUCGGGUAAGUUCCG